AGGGUUGGGAUGUGAGCCCAUUAAAGUGGUACGCGAGCUGGGUUCAGAACGUCGUGAGACGGUUCGGUCCAUAUCCGGCGCAGGCGAAGGAAAUUUGAGAAGACCUGUACUUAGUACGAGAGGACCGGGAUGGACGUACCUCUGGUGUACCAGUUGU
rnacentral:rRNA from 1 species